CGGGGCGUGGCGCAGACGGGUAGCGCGCCGCGUUUGGGACGCGGAGGUCGCCGGUUCAAGUCCGGCCGCCCCGA
rnacentral:tRNA from 1 species